GAGUUACCGGUUAUAAUGGAGGGGAUGGAAGGGGAGUUACCGGUUAUAAUGGAGGGGAUGGAAGGUGAGUUACUGUUUCUUUAAGGCAGACCGGAAGUCGGACUACAUUUCCCGGCAUGCCGUGUGAGCGGCGGCGGAAGUUUUCUGUUUUGGCAGCUGCUGAAUGAGAGGUGAGUCACUAACCCUCACUGAGUGCGCACUCGCCGCCCGUCACCCCCUCAGUGAGUGCGCACUCACCGCCCGUCACCCCCUCAGUGAGUGCCCGCUCACCGCCCGUCACCCCCUCAGUGAGUGCGCACUCGCCGCCCGUCACCCCCUCAGUGAGUGCCCGCUCACCCCCUCAGUGAGUGCCCGCUCACCGCCCGUCACCCCCUCAGUGAGUGCGCACUCGCCGCCCGUCACCCCCUCAGUGAGUGCGCACUCACCGCCCGUCACCCCCUCAGUGAGUGCGCGCUCACCGCCCGUCACCCCCUCAGUGAGUGCGCGCUCACCGCCCGUCACCC